GGAUUUCCCUAGUACUGCGAGUGAACAGGGAUUAGCCCAGCACCGAAGCCUGUGGUUAUUUGACUGCAAGGCAAUGUGGUGUUUAGGUUUGUUCUUGGCAUUACUGCUCUGCCCCAAGUCCAGCAAUGAGUACGGCAUACCGUUCUGGCCCAUAGAGGGUGAAAGGCCCGUGGGGGUAGAGACCAAGCAUGACAGUUUUGUCCAGAGCUUACCUUGGAGUCGGGUUGUUUGAGAAUGCAGCCCAAAGUGGGUGGUAAACUCCAUCCAAGGCUAAAUACUUGCACGAGUCCGAUAGUAAACAAGUACCGUGAGGGAAAGUUGAAAAGUACUUUGAAGAGAGAGUAAACAGUGCGUGAAACCGCUCAGAGGUAAACGGGUGGAGUUGAACUGCGAUCCUUGGGAAUUCAGCUGAUGAGCAUGAUUUGUGCUUGGGCAUAUUGACCGCCUUUCAGUGUCUGCUUAGCUGCGGGUGCCUGCCUCUGGUGGGUAUGUGUGGUGCGCUUAUCAUGUGCCGCACGCAUUGGAGGGUGUAUGAGUCUGCUUGUCGGUGCACUUUCUCAGGGUGUUCACCACGACCGGCACUGCUGUCUGUCUGCUUUGGUCAAACUGAUCAGGUCUGAUUAACGUUGGGCUUGGUUGGGGUGGCAGGUGACUCACUGGUCCAUUCUGUGGGCUAUGAGUGUUACUAGCCGGCUUUAGUGGAUCUGUACGGUGUGUCGGAGACGGCGGCUUUGCAUAUGCGCUCUGUCCUUCAGGCGUGGUUGAGUCUGGUCGACUUGUUGCUAGUUUCGGCUGGUCAGUUGAUGGCUUGAUCAUGUUCAGUUGGCAGUGGUGUGUGUGUCUUAGUUUGGGCCAAUAGUCUGUGGUGUUGUGGUAGACUAUCCACCUGACCCGUCUUGAAACACGGACCAAGGAGUUUAACAUGUGCGCGAGUCAUUGGGCUUUACGAAACCCAAAGGCGCAGUGAAGGUAAAGGCUUGGCUUGUCCAGGCUGAGGUGAGAUCCUGUUGUUUUGCUCAUUCAUUCCAAGCUGCGAGCAGCAGGCGCAUCACCGGCCCGUCCCAUGACGUAGACAUGUGGCCUUGUGCUAUGUGCACCGUCGGGGCGGAGCAAGAGCGUACAUGUUGAGACCCGAAAGAUGGUGAACUAUGCUUGCGAAGGUUGAAGCCAGAGGAAACUCUGGUGGAGGACCGUAGCGAUUCUGACGUGCAAAUCGAUCGUAUAACGUGAGUAUAGGGGCGAAAGACUAAUCGAACCAUCUAGUAGCUGGUUCCCUCCGAAGUUUCCCUCAGGAUAGC
rnacentral:rRNA from 1 species